ensembl:lncRNA
AACGACUUCUGCCCAUCGCUGACGCUGGGACCAGGUGAUGUGGCGUUUCCUCGGCAUGACUUCCCCAUGCACAGGCUGAUCCAGGAGAUGUACGAGGCCAAACCUGGAGAGUUCAAAGCCACUGUGGUGCCUUGGCGCAGUGGAGAGGAAAUCAUCAACAAGCUCAGGAAAGUCGUGGAAGAACAGGUUUAACUAUGGCUGAAAUACAUAAACAAGGACAUAAAUAAAAACAAAUUCUCAGCACAGUUACUUUUAAUAAUCAUGAUGCAUGGAGAUACACCAACAAGGAGAUGAUAUGUUAGUGGGAGCUGCUGUUAUACUUGCACAAAACCAAGGUUGUCUUUUCAGUUUCUGUAGCAGAAAUUCAUACUUAUAAAAUUGUAUGAACGUCAAUGUAUGAAGAGAUGGAAAAAGUUGUCUGAAAGAACUCAUGGCUUAUGUGAAAUAUGGUCAGAACCUAUGUUUCACGCAUAAAGAAGAUUUCUCAAUGGUUUUUAAAUAUUUAAACUGAUUCCACUUCCAUAAACACUCUUAAAAACACUUUUAGAGUUCUACAUACAACCUUUAUGGUUUUCCCUGGAUCAACAAACUGAAACAACCAGUAUGUUCUAGUAUAGAAGAAUUUCCUUUGGGGGCGAGCGAAGACUGAGUGUGAGAAUUAUGUGUAAGCAAUAAUGAAGACAAUAUUUUUAAUGAGUUUGUUUUAAAUUGGCAAUUUAGUAUUUAAAAUAGCUUCACUAAUUUGUAUUCUUUUCUAUUUGCCUAUAAAUUGCUUGUCAGCACAUCAUCUGGGGUAAAUGUCCCUGGUUUGCUAUUCAGGUGAAAUAUGUAUGCUAUUAGUGAUGUAAAUCAUUUGCUUAAAACCAGUACUGAAAUAAUUUUGUCUCUGAGUCUCCAUUUACCUGACUUGCACCAUGGUCUAGGGCCAUGGUUCCUAGUUCAAGUGAAUGUAUGAGUUUCUUCUAGGUACACUCUUUUCACCCAUCUUCCAAGAAAAUGCUGGCAGGUGAAUGAUCUGCUCUAAAUGUGAAUGUGUGUCUGUGUUGUGUCUUGUGAUGGACUGGUGUCCCAUCCAGUAUGUAUUCCUGCCUUGCACCCAGUGUUCCCACAAUAGGCUCAGGAUCCCAGGAUCAGGAUAAAGUGGUUACUGAAAAUAAAUUAAUGUUGGGGUGAAGAAGGUGGAAGGAAUUAAAAAACAAAGGUUGCAGGGAGCCUGGAGGCUGUCCCAGGGGACUCGGGACAGAAGGUGGAGGACACCCUGGACAGGGUGGCAACACCUCACAGUGCACACUCAUACAUAUUCACACACUAUGGACAAUUUAGAGAUGCCAGUCAGUCUACAACAUGUCUUUGGACUGGGGAGGAAACCAGAGUAAUCAGAAUCAAAUCCCCAACAGAAAGGUGUGAGGGAAAUGUGCAAACCACUAAGCCACUAUGCCCCCAUAAAUACUAACAUUAAUAGAGUAAUAUAAGUGGCUGUGAUGUUCACAGGUUUCCAUAAGAAAUACAGUAUAAAUACAGUACACACUAUUACAAACACCCAGAAAGAGGAUGUCUAAUUGUUCUCGGAAGAUAAUCUUGAAGCUCAGGGAAAGUAGAUUAAAGAUUGUAAAUCUACAAAAUGACGCAAAUCUGUAUGUAACAUUUUAGCUUAACCUCCACCCACCACAUUUGUAGCAUAUGUGUGAUUACCACAGACAAAAAUUUCUUGUUUCUAUUUCUGUUGUUACAAUGUAAUAAGAAAAGAACAGAAAGUUUGUUGAAGUUUCAAGUUAACAGGCUUUCUGUUGUUUUCUCAGUACAAUUAAACUUUUUUAAUUAUCUGUGGUCGUCAGCAGUUAAUUUAUAUUCAUAAUCUGCUUGUAAUGUAUAGACAAUUUAGG